AGUUUAGACGUAGUCGGAGUCGGACCCGGCGAUAGUAAGUACUGCGAUAUGCUGCAAGAACACAAACACAUAUCACAGUCUACUUGCUGUCUCCGGUUCGCUGACUGACUCAACGAAGAAAGU
rnacentral:pre_miRNA from 9 species